rnacentral:lncRNA from 1 species
AUGGUGGUGCCAGUGGUGCUGGUUCCGGUUGCAGUUCCGGUUCUGGUGCCAGUUCCGGUGCUGGUUCUGGUUCCAGUGCCAGUUCUGGUUCCGGUGCCAGUUCCGGUGUCAACGUCACAGUGGUGCCAGUUCCGGUUCUGGUUCCAGUUCCAGUUCCGGUGUCAGCAUCACAGAGGUGCCAGUGGUGCCUGUUCCGGUUCUGGUUCUGGUUCCGGUGCCAGUUCCAGUUCCGGUUCUGGUGUCAGUGUCACAGAGGUGCCAGUGGUGUUGCUUCCAGUUCUGGUUCCGGUUCCGGUUCCAGUUCCAGUUCUGGUUCNGUUCCAGUUCUGGUUCCGGUGCCAGUGUCACGGUGGUGCCAGUGGUGCCAGUUCUGGUUCUGGUUCCAGUUCCAGCUCUGGUUCCAGUGUCAAUGUCAUGAUGGUGCCAGCAGUGCUGGUUCCGGUUCUGGUGUCAGUGUCACGGUGGUGCCAGUGGUGCCGGUUCCGGUUCUGGUUCCGGUUCCAGUUCCAGCUCUGGUUCCAGUUCCAGUUCCAGCUCUGGUUCCGGUUCCAGCUCUGGUUCCGGUUCCAGUUCCGGUUCCAGUUCCAGCUCUGGUUCCGGUUCCGGUUCCGGUUGCGGUUGUGCUCAGGCGUGCAGGCAGCGGUUGAAGGCGUUGUAGGCCGACUCGAGGUCGAAGAGCAGCUGCCGCACCUGGGCAUCGUCCAGCUCGUCCGACGCCGACAUGGCGCUCAGCGUCUGCAGCCUCCGCCCCGCAAACAACGCCGCCGCUCAGCACCGCGACCCACGGCCGCGACCCACGGCGACCCACAGCCGCGACCCACAACCGGGACCCGCAACCGGGACCCGCAACCGGGACCCGCAACCGGGACCCGCAACCGGGACCCGCAACCGGGACCCGCAACCGGGACCCGCAGCUCGUCCGACGCCGACACGGCGCUCAGCGUCUGCAGCUUCCAGCCCCGCAAACCCCACAAAGGCGCCCCUGACCCCAUAGGGACCCCGUAAAGACUCCCCUCGACUCCAUAAAGACCCCAUAAAGAGCCCCCUGACCCCCUAGGGAACCCCCGACCCCAUAAGGACCUCAUAAAGAAUCCCACAACCCCAUAAACACCCCCCCGACCACAGAAGGACCCCAUAAAGACCGCCCUGACCCCAUAGGGACCUCACAAAGACACCCUUGACCCCAUAAGGACCCCAUACAGAUCCCAUAAAGACCCCCCGACCCCAUAAGAACCCCAUAGGAACCCCCCACAACCCCAUAAACCUCAUAAAGACCCCAUAGGGACCCCAUAAACCCCAUAAGGACCCCAUAGGGACCCCCCCAAUCCCAGAAGAAUCCCAUAAAGACCUCAUAAAGACCCCAUAAGGACCCCACAGGGAC